UCGGGAGGGCGCUUACCACUUUGUGAUUCAUGACUGGGGUGAAGUCGUAACAAGGUAACGGUAGGGGAACCUGCGGUUGGAUCCCCUCCUUACCUUAAAGAAGC
rnacentral:rRNA from 1 species